rnacentral:tRNA from 1 species
GCUCUCGUAGCUCAGUUGGUUAGAACACUCGCUUAAUAAGCGAAGAUCUUGAGUUUGACUCUGAAUGAGAACA